rnacentral:lncRNA from 1 species
AUGUGUGUGGGGGGACACCCCUCCACAGACACAGCAGCUCUUUCUGAGCUUUGCACCAGGCUGGAGAGGGCAGGGAAAUGGGGUUGGGGGUGCAGUAGGUGGGCUUCCCUCACCCUAGCUCCCUCCCACCCCUCCCCCUGGGGCUGUGUCCUACCCACAUGCCAGGUGGGGGACAGAGCCAGGCAGAGACUUGGUCCCUGCUCAGUGACAGCACCGUGGACACGAGAUACUCUGGAAAGAAGUGGCUGGCCCCCACGGACACAGGAGGAGAAGAAGACACUGAGGACCAGGGACUCACAGGAGACGAGGCAGAGCCCUUCCUGGAUCCAAGUGGUGUGCCAGGCCCGGGGGCUCCCACCACCCCCAGGAAGCCACCUUCCCGUCCUCCUCCCUACCACCCUGGGAGCAAAAGAAAGAGAAGCACACCCCCACCCAGGAAGCUGCUGUCAGACAAACCACAGGACUUCCAGGUGACUGACCCCAGCCUCCUCCUUUAGCCCAUCAGCAGCUGCCAGCACCAGGCACCUAGUCUGUCUGUCCAACUUUAGGGGAAGUGUGCCUGUGCCCUAAGGGCAGUCCCAGUGGAAGUCUGUCCUUUCUCUGGGUUCUGAGCAGCUUCUGAAUGGGAACUUUGUGUCUUUGGGUUUCAGAAGAUGCCUCUGCUCAAUCCCAGUGUUUUGCUCUUCCAACAAAAGUCCUGCAGAGAGUCAACAUAUCUGUAUCUCUUGUCUGAUGCUUCCCAGCAUUUGUCUUACUAGCUGGUUCCCUGCUGUUUGCUGUGCAGUCUGUGUCCCAGGCAGUGUCACCAGGUGUCCGGGUGCUCCUUAGUAAUGCGCAGUAAUGCUGGAGCAGGAUCUGGAUUGUUAUAAGACCCCUAAAUCUAGGGAGCUCUGCUUAGCAUCUUGCUUCUCCUCUAUCUACACUCCUGCUUAUAACAAUGAAUUUUUCUAGAGUGAUGCAGAAUUUGAAUUUGUUCAAGCUUUUCACAGAAUGUAACUAUUAAUAUUAACCUGUUGGUACAUUUUUAUCCAAAAUCCAUCCCAUUUUACUUGCCUUUUAAUUUUGAUCCUUUGGUUAUUCUACAGAAGUUUCCAUUUUGAUGUAGAAUGCCUCAGAACUACCUUUAAUGUUAAAAACAGGAAACUUAAAUCUCUAUUUAUUAAGUGCAACAAAUCAUCAAACUAUAUUUCAGUUUAAAUCAUGAUAAAUUAAGCAAAAGUUUCAGCUAUAACCACUAUGUUUCCCUCAAGAGACAGAUUUCCAGCUCCCAUAUUAUUCCCAGGACAUGUUUUUAUUGCCUUUUUUUCCUCUUUCAAAAAGCAAUAUAUGUUUAUUGUGGAAAAAUUGAAAAAUGCAACAAAAUGAAGAGAAUAAAAAUUACCCAUCCAUUGGGCAUGGUGGUGCACACCUGUAAUCCCAGCACUCUGGGAGGCCGAGGCAGAAGGAUUGUAAGUAUGAACUCUGCCUCAGCAACUUACAAGUUAUCAGGGCUCAUCUCAAAAUAAAAAACAAAAAAUAAACUGUAAAUAUAGGUUAAUGUGAAGCUCCUGGGUCCAAACUCUAGUACCACAAGGAAAAAAACUCACCUACCCUCCUGUUGUUAUUAAUAGUAUAUUCUUUUAUGCCUGGGGAUUUAGCUCAGUGGUUCCACUGCCUCCCUCCCAAGCUAAGGACCCAAGUAUGAUCCCUGGUACCAAUAUAUAUAUAUUCUUUCAAAGCAUGCUAGGUUUUUCUUUAAAAAAAAUUUUUUUUGGGCCAGGGACUUAGCUCAGUUGUUCCGGUGCCUGCCUCGAAAGUGCAAGGACCCAAGUUUGAUCCCUAGUACCAAAAAAAAAAAAAUUUUUUUUUUGAGACUAGGUCUCACUAUGUAGUUCAGGCUGCCUUGAACUCAUGGCAGUCCUCCUACCUCAGCCUCUUGAGUGCUGGGUGUGUGCACCACCAUACCUGGUUUAAA